GUCUAUCGUCUCUGCUCGAAGAAUAUUAGGGUUUUCAGAUCAAACCUCACAAUGAAAUUAAACUGAAGAAUAAAUUUUCUUCUUCUUCACAUGCAAUCACCUUUGAGAUCAAUUUUUUUUUUCUGAAACGAAAAAAUGUAAUCAAUUGUCAAUUAAUCGCUGGAGCUGGAAUAAAUUGAUUUAGUUUUUAUAUAGAUCUGAAAAGAGGAAAAAGAAAAAGAAGACACAUAAAUUAUCUAGUGCAAGGUUCAGGUUUUUACUUGAUGAAGAAUUAACGGAAGUUGCUGCAAGUGAUGAGGUCAGAGCUGCUAUUCUAUAUAAGAUUAACAGGGAGCGCAUUGGCGAAGAAGUAUGUUAAUUAUUUUGUUAUUUUUGAAACAAAUGUGGUAUACUUCAAGGUAUUUGUUGUUUCCUGCUAAAUCUUUGUGCAGAUUGAUCUAAUUGAUAAACAAACGAAUUAUUGUAAAUGAAAAUUAAAGCAUUACCUGUA